GAUGAACGCUGGCGGCGUGCCUAAUACAUGCAAGUCGAGCGAACGGACGAGAAGCUUGCUUCUCUGAUGUUAGCGGCGGACGGGUGAGUAACACGUGGAUAACCUACCUAUAAGACUGGGAUAACUUCGGGAAACCGGAGCUAAUACCGGAUAAUAUUUUGAACCGCAUGGUUCAAAAGUGAAAGACGGUCUUGCUGUCACUUAUAGAUGGAUCCGCGCUGCAUUAGCUAGUUGGUAAGGUAACGGCUUACCAAGGCAACGAUGCAUAGCCGACCUGAGAGGGUGAUCGGCCACCCUGUAACUGAGACACGGUCCAGACUCCUACGGGAGGCAGCAGUAGGGAAUCUUCCGCAAUGGGCGAAAGCCUGACGGAGCAACGCCGCGUGAGUGAUGAAGGUCUUCGGAUCGUAAAACUCUGUUAUUAGGGAAGAACAUAUGUGUAAGUAACUGUGCACAUCUUGACGGUACCUAAUCAGAAAGCCACGGCUAACUACGUG
rnacentral:rRNA from 1 species